GGAAGUCCAAACAUAACCUCAAAAAUUAGAGAACAAAGAGGUGAUUUUUGUGAGAGUCAGUGGAUUAUUCGGUAAAAGCCAGACGAGACUAUGGAAUUAUUAAUGGAACUUUUGACUCCUGGGGAUCGAAAGCAUUCGACAGCACUGGAAAGGUUGGCGCAAGCGCCCGGAUGAAUUUUGUCACCUCCGUGGGGCUGGGAGCAUGUGCUGAAAUAUUUAUUUAUUUUUUUUCGUCUGGGAUUUGUAGUUUUCGUGGUUAAAAAAUGUUGAUGUGGAUUAUUGGCAUCUUCCUGGGGUUUUCAGGAACACUGGGGGAUAACAUCCUGACUUCGAAGGUCUUUGUCAUCCCAGUGGGGCCUGAACUGUUCGGUGUCAAAGAUGAAUCGCCUCAGGGACUGGAAUUUUCUUAUCAAGCUUCUCUACUCAAUUCACCGGAUUUACCCCCCUGGAUGCAUUACACAUACAGUGAUAAACAUCGUCAAGGAUUCCUCUACGGAGUUGCCCCAAAAAAUCAAGGGAAUUUCACGCUUCAAAUCGUGGGAUUGAGCAAGAAAACCUACAAUACUAACUACAAAGUUCUAGAAAUGAAUGUUCAAGAGAACGAAAAUUCACUGAAAUACGAAGUUUACUUGAAAAUUGAUAAUCUGAGGAUUGAGGAUACCUUCAACGUGACAACGAGGGAAGGACUUCUUGACCUUUUCAGAAGAGAAUUUUGGGUGGAGGCGAGAGAUCUCUGCAUAACGUACAUGGCAUCGGCGGUUGAAGAAGGUGCUCGACUGCCACUUGAUCCCACCGAACCCGAAGGGGUAGUUUUGAAGCUGGGUAGCUCUGCACCUUUUUCCGAAAUUCUUAUGAAGCUCGCGGAGGAGGUGAAGCCCUUGAGAAAAAAACUUCCAUGUCCCAAAGAGUACAAACGCACUACGAAGGAAAUGCUGUUCAGGGAGGCACAUUUUUACUUGGACUGGUGUUCAUUCAGACUCAUCUCUGAGAAUGAAAGUCAACAUCAAGAAAGUGCUCGACGUGGCUCCAGUAUGAACGUCAUCGGUAGACAACCUGAGCAUGCAGAAUGGCGAUGGGCAAGGCCUAAAAAAUCCGCAAUUCCAACUCGAAGUUAUCUGAAAGAAAUUGUUACCACUGUUUUCGUUCCCACACUUGUACUAUUGGUAUUGGCACUUCUGUUGAGCACAACGUUCUGUCUUCACCACGAGAAAGCGGUAGAUCCAGAAUCGAAUGAAUAUUUUAAUGAGCUCUUUAAUAUUUUUAAACGAAAUAGAGAUCGAAGUGGUAACUCCACGAGUGACAAGAGGGAGCUAACACCAGUGGAGGGUGUAGGAAAUAAUGGAGUUCAGAUGGUGCAGUAUGCACCAUCGGAGAGAGAAACCUUGAGAUCACUUUCAGCUCAGCCUUCGAGCCCCAGUGACUCAUUAUUGAGGAGCCCAAGUGAUUAAUUUGGACUAUCGUGUUAGAGUGUCUGUGGAACGUGGUAAUCCAUACGUGCGACCCAAUCCUCCACCGUACACAGGACCAGGCAAUUUGGGGACACUGAGGGUUGACUUCUGACUACACGAGGAGCCAGCCAAAACGUGGUUUUGCUGAUAAUCAAGUCGCUCUAACUUAUUAGGCAAUUGGAAGAUCGAUUAUUAAAUUUUAAUAUAAUCAACUCAGUAAAAAUUUCAAUACAAGUUUGUAGCGUCUCUGAGUUCGCGAAUCAUUAGGACUGGCUCCAGAAUCAUAGAAACUGAAGGAAUAAAUUAUUCAUAUCAUCGAAUAUAACGAAUUCAAUUAUUUAAGACAUUUUUAUUGUAACAUUCGACUUGACAUUUCUAUUGGGAUGUAGAGCAUGUAUUGUAGGUGAUCAAUAAAUAAUUGACUGAUCUUGGAA